UCUUUACACCCGCAUUCCGGUUCGGCCCCGUCGGGUGGCGGUGUCGAUAAAAAGGGAAUCGGGUGAGAAUCCCGAGCAGUCCCGCUGCUGUAAUUCCUGCGAAAGUCCGUUGACUCGAAGCCACUGACGAGAAUCUGUUUCUGCCACGUCGGGAAGGCGUCACCGGACAGGGAAGAGCCAGAAGACCUGCCGGCGUGAGAGAGAAGCA
rnacentral:ncRNA from 2 species